rnacentral:rRNA from 1 species
UACGUAGGGUGCGAGCGUUAAUCGGAAUUACUGGGCGUAAAGCGUGCGCAGGCGGUUCUGAAAGUCAGCUGUGAAAGCCCCGGGCUUAACCUGGGAAUGGCAUUUGAGACUGCAUAGCUAGGGUGCGGAAGAGGGAAGCGGAAUUUCCGGUGUAGCGGUGAAAUGCGUAGAUAUCGGAAGGAACACCAGUGGCGAAAGCGGCUUCCUGGUCCAGCACCGACGUUCAGGCACGAAAGCGUGGGGAGCAAACAGG